rnacentral:rRNA from 1 species
GAGAGGUGAUCGGCCACAUUGGGACUGAGAUACGGCCCAGACUCCUACGGGAGGCAGCAG